rnacentral:misc_RNA from 1 species
CCGAGUUGCAAAACUCCCUAAACCAUUGUGAACCUACCUGUACCGUUCCUUCGGCGGGCGGCGUCAAGCCCUAACCCGUCCCCUUCGCGGGGGAUGGACCCGCCGGAGGCCCCUAAACUCUUAACUUUAGUUGGCAUCUCUGAGUAAAUCAAAAAAUUAAGUCA